CUCUCACCUGCUCCAUCUCUCUCAUUCGCCUCCCUCUCUCUCUGUCCAACGCAUCUCCACCAUCUCUUCUAUCUCCCUCGCGUCAUCAUUUGACUCGGAUCUCCAUUGGAGCAGCCGCCCGAAGGAACCACGCACCAUUCAAAAGCCCCUUUUCAGAUUUUUGUGGCAUUUCUUAAAAUCGAAGCAAUCUAAAGUUCCUCUCUACAGUGAAAAUGAGAAAUCUGGAUUCCUGAAUAUGGUGUCUCAUUAUCUAAGGGCCUAAGCGCAACAAAUUGAAUGAAGUAAGACCCAGCUACUCCGACAUAUGAAGUCAUCGUUCAUUAUGAUAGCUUGGCACCGACUCAUGAAGGUGAUCUCCUGGUUUCAUGUUUCCUGUAUUUAAUUGAAAUGUACACUAGUGGAAACAAAAUCUGGUGAGUAGAAAUGCAAUUUUUAAUUAUCAAUAGAAAAAGGAAAAUCUUUUAGUUCUUUAUUGCAUUAUUCUUCUGAUAUUGAUAAUUUGGUAGAAGUAUUUUUUGAAAUGCUGCGACAGACAAUCAAUGAAAAUGCAGAUCUUUCCGAGACCAAGAAACUUCUUGACAAGCUUCUUGUGCUGAAGCUGAAUGGAGGUUUGGGGCCUACGAUGGGUUGCACUGGUCCUAAGAGGUUCAACAUUGGCUGAUCUUCAACAGGCUCUUAAAGUUUCUUGCCACUUCUGUUGGGAUUAGUAAAAGAUGGAGUCCCAGUAUGUAGGCGGUCAAAAGGCACUGUGCAAAGCUUGAACGUGUAGGAUCUAGGCAGUUGGCUGGUUUGCUUAUAUAUCUGCAGGGCUAAUGAUGAUGCUUUUUGUCAAACUUUAAAAACUUUAAAAUUCACAUAAAACUGAUUGUUCAUUGCAUAUGCAUAUUAUCAGUUGAUGGUUGAUAUACAAUUGUUGUUUGGAAUACAUAUUAUUUCAAUGAAUUGGGGGUGAAGCAAAGGCCUUUUUUGUUGUAGUGACAGAUCACACCGUCCACUAGAGUUGCUCUUCACAACGAUAUAUAGUGAAUUGUGGCUUCUUACUGUUUUUAUAGGGAACAUGCCCCUUCAAUCAUCUUCAUGGAUGAGAUCGACAGUAUUGGAUCUGCUGCUAUGGAAUCAGGGACUGGCAAUGGUUUUGAUGGCUACCAACUGUAUAAAUAUUCUGGAUCAAGCCCUCCUCAGGCCUGACCAGAUUGAUAGGAAGAUUGAAUUCCCAAAUCCCAACGAAGAGGUAUAAGCUACAUUUUGGUUCUUC